GACGAACGCUGGCGGCGUGCUUAACACAUGCAAGUCGAACGGAAAGGCCCUGCUUUUGUGGGGUGCUCGAGUGGCGAACGGGUGAGUAACACGUGAGUAACCUGCCCUUGACUUUGGGAUAACUUCAGGAAACUGGGGCUAAUACCGGAUAGGAGCUCCUGCUGCAUGGUGGGGGUUGGAAAGUUUCGGCGGUUGGGGAUGGACUCGCGGCUUAUCAGCUUGUUGGUGGGGUAGUGGCUUACCAAGGCUUUGACGGGUAGCCGGCCUGAGGGGGUGACCGGCCACGUUGGGACUGAGAUACGGCCCAGACUCCUACGGGAGGCAGCAGUGGGGAAUAUUGCACAAUGGGCGGAAGCCUGAUGCAGCAACGCCGCGUGCGGGAUGACGGCCUUCGGGUUGUAAACCGCUUUCGCCUGUGACGAAGCGUGAGUGACGGUAAUGUGUAAAGAAGCACCGGCUAACUACGUG
rnacentral:rRNA from 1 species